GACUAGGUUAGAUGCGUAGUAGAGAUAUUUGCAUGUGAGUACCAGUGUGUGGAAGUAUGUGUGUGCAUGGCGUCUCGAAAACAGAUGAAUGUAAACAGUAUAGUCGGUUAACAGUCGGAUAUGGAAGAAAGUACUGAGACACUUGCAAGUGUGUAUCGAUGAAUAUCUUAGAAAUCGUCCAUCGAAUAACUAUAUAAUUAUUCUAAUAUUAAUUCCAAGUGUAAAUUUAGUAUUCCUAUAGCAUUAUUUCGGCUAUCAAGAUCCAAAAUUUUCAACAAAUAUAAAACAAAAAUUGUUGUCCAUCUAUUAUCACCUUAUGAAAGGAAAGAAACUUUCCGGACAACCUAAUACUAUCGAAACAGUGAAUAUAAUAUAGUGCAAGUGAAAAUAUCGUAAAAUGCAAGACACAGAAUGAAAUUUAUACCAACCUUUGUCUCAACAUUCUCUAAAAGUUGAUAUUACAAACAGAAGACAUUGUACCACUAUUGAGAUAUAUAUAAUUGCAUGUGCUGGACUAGGUUAACUGCGUAGUAGUAAUACUUGUAUGUGAAUAUCAGUAUGUGGAAGUAUAUGUGUGCAUCUCGAAAACAAAUGAAUGUAAACAGUACAGUCGGUUAACAGUCGAAUAUGGAAGAAAUUACUGAGACACGUGCAAGUGUGUAUCAAUGAAUAUCUUAGAAAUCGUCCAUCGAAUAACUAUAUAGUUAUUCUAAUAUUAAUUCUAAGUGUAAAUUUAGUAUUCCUAUAGCAUUAUUUCGGCUAUCAAGAUCCAAAAUUUUCAACAAAUAUAAAACAAAAAUUGUUAUUAAUCUAUUAUCACCUUAUGAAAGGAAAGAAACUUUCCGGACAAUCUAAUGCAAUUGAAACAGUGAAUAUAACGUAAUACAGGUAAAAAUAUCGUAAAAUGCAAGGAUACAGAAUGAAAUUGUUUCAACAUUCUCUAAAAGUUGAUAUUACAAACAGAAGACAUUGUGUCACAAUGCAAGGAAACAGAAACCUUACAACACAGAAAAUGAAAAUUAUAUUAAUUUCUAUUUCAAUAUUUAUGUUUCAAACACAUUAUGUCGAAUGAAUGAUUACUUAUUAAGCCUUAGGGAUCAUACCUAAUUCGAUAAAAUAAUAAUAUUGAGAUAUGUAUAAUUUUAUGUCCUGGACUAGGUUACAUGCGUAGGAGAUACUUGUAUGUAAAUAUCAGUGUGUGGAAAUAUGUGUGUGCGUGGCGUCUCGAAAACAAACGAAUGUGAACAGUACAGUCGGCUAACAGUCGAAUAUGGAAGAAAGUGCUGAGACACGUGCAAGUAUGUAUCGAUGAAUAUCUUUGAAAUCGUCCAUCAAAUAACUGUAUAAUUAUUCUAAUAUUAAUUCCAAGUGUAAAUUUAGCGUUCCUAUACCAUUAUUUCGGCUAUCAAGAUCCACAAUUCUCAACAUGAACGUCACGUGUCCCAUGUGGAUAAACUUAUCUAAAUAGAAAGCGAGAUAAAGUAAAAGUUUAUAGGAAGUUGGAAAAAUGACAGUAAAGUACGGUUUUGGUGAAUGCAGUAGGCGUGCAAUUUCGAAGUCAGACAACGUUUGCUUCAGAAACUGCAAUCACUUUCCCGAGUCCUCAGCUGUCCACUUAUCUCAACAGGAAGUGCUGGCUGCAACCGCACUACCUUCAACUGCAACCUUGUUACGUCUCAUCAUAAAUCUUCCAAUCUACUCAAAAACUCCAGGAAGUCUUGUCCAAUACUCCAACGGAGUAUUAUUCCAACUUCUCCGAUUCAUUCGUCAAAUAUUUUUCAGAAAUUCAACUGAGAGCUUUGAACUUCACAUUUCGACGCAUAAUUAAACGUUUCUUUUCGUAGGCUCGAAAUUUCGACGUAAAUUGCUGUCGUUCUUUCAAAUUUUCAAUUUUACAUUAAACCGAGGAUUUUAAGUUAUUCGAUCGUCGCGCUGCAAUCUUCAAAAAGUAGCAUUUUCCAAUGGCGUCAGCUUGCGAUAAGAAAAGUCGAUCGACGCUUGGACGAGUCCAAGAAAAUGCAUUUUCUCGUGAACCCAAAGUUGCAAUCGACUUAAAUAGUGCAACGUUGAUGGUUCCCAGCGAAUCAUUUGUUAGGUUGAUCGCAGCAAUGUUGCGCAACCGAAGUGUGUGGUCAGAAACCCGUUAAAUCUUAGCUGCGGGGGUGGUGGGGGGCGGGACAAGGCGCGAAUUUCACGUUGUUUGUCCCCGUACUUUGCCAAACGAGCGAUUCACUGACCACCCACUGUACACCGUACAUCGUACAGCUUGUAGAUCGCGCGAUUGCCAGGCGGAUGCGAGGCGAAAUGACCGACGCAUACGGAUCAUUUGUCUUGGCGCAACGAAUGUGGAACGUGGCGUGUAGGUGGCAUAACGCCGCCUGAAAAUAGGGUCACGAAUCGUAAGGAGGAUCUGAUAACCGGCCCGGAAGGUAUUUCGCGUUCGUACAGUGUCGCUGUCUGUUCCCACCCCCAAAGAGACCAGGGACACAUUGGAUGAGUAGAAGGAAAUUGCAACGAAGAUCGUCCCUUGAUUUUUAAUGUCACAUAGGAACAAGGUAGAUGAGCCAAUGUGGACAAUAUAUGCAGCCUCUUCGAUGUAAGGACAAAUAAUUGCCAAGUAAUUUGAGGGAGAUAGUCCGUUAAAGACCCAGUUCAGGACAAUCAACCGGUCAGCCUAUUUACCUUAAUUCACGCCCAACACAAUCUAUAUCCGAGAGUGGCUUGUAAGGGUAUUCAAGACCGGAAGAGAACGUAGGUCGCUCGGUGGAUAGCGGAUCAGUGUAUAGAUCUUGCAAUUAGCUGCUCUUGUGUGCUUCCUUCCUCCUCGAGAACCUUGCUGGUAACCGUGUCGCUUGCUGAUUCCCUUUGCUUUUUACUCCAAAACUAGGGAAUCUAGUCCGAAAUUCGUUAUGGAUCUAUCGUACACCGUGUUCGAAUUAAUCUUAGUUGGAUUGAAGAUGUUUUACAGAUGGAUGCAAUAAUGACACGUAUUGUUUUAGGAUGUGGACUGAAACAUUGCAACAAACAAUUUUCAGGAACACGAAAUCCUCCACCGUUCCUAAUUUCAUUAUGCAAUAUUUCUAUCGACCAUUGAAGACUGCAGAACAAUAUAUUCAGAAUUAUCAAACAUUUUCUGAAUUUCAGUUCUGAGAAGAGUUUAACACAAUGAGAGCUUUCUCAUAUUGCUGACAUGUUUCUUAACGUUCAUAAAAUACUCGAAAAUAAUGAAAUGAACGCAGCAUAGUUGAAAACAGGAAAGAAAUAUACCGUAAAUACCAUUUGCCUAAGGAACGCCUACUUUCGCCCAAAUGGUAAAAAAUUCCGGAGCAUCGGGUCAUUCGCAAUGACAACGUGGCGUAUAACAUCUCAUCGCGGACAGGCGAUGCGAUUAUUCCAGAAAACAUGAAACGAAAGCAGCAACGAGCCAUGUCUGACUUUCGAUCCUGGGUGGUAGCAGGUUAUCUCGGCUGUUGGCUGGGCUGCUGGUUGCAUGGGCGGAGGCAGGGUCGUGCAGGCGGCCCCUCAUUCGCUUUCCGGGUGCCACCCUUCUUUUCGAGGCUGCUGCGGCAUAUCCCCAGUCCAUGCUGCGGCAACCACGCACGUGUUCGCGCAUGCGCAACAGCCACGAUGUUGCACGCAUGGGCGCGUACGCAUAUAGGAGAAACGGCACCCGUUGGAGAACCCCUUUCGCGCCCAGGCUACCCAACAGAAUGUCCCCUCGAUGCUUGUAAACUGUGCUGCCAGCAUAAUACUGCGUUAUGUAUAUGUCGAAUGUCCCCACAUAAGAAAUCGAUAUCUCUGCUAUGGAGAACUGGCACCAAAUUUGGUGACAGAAUUUGAUAUUUAAAAUGGACGUAGGAAAUUGAAUGACCAAGGAAUGGCAACCACUGCUGUUUGGACGUAUUUCAAUGUUCUUCCUUUGUGCGAACGUUGGAAAUUAAAGAAUUUAUUUAACAAGGAUCGUUACUUAAAAAACGACUAAGUUUCUUCGCGAUAACGUUGGAAAUUAGAUAAUUUGGGAAGAGCAGUCGUCACCACUUGGCCAUUUUUCCUUGCUGUUAUUGCUUUCACUGAAGUGUUCGUCAAAUAUUUCUAAAAAUGUGCCAGUCAUCGUUAUGCCUUAUUUAAUAAACUCGUGGAAUCUCAAAUUGACUGAUGUAGAGUUCCAACGAACCCCUAUAGCGCUGGAAGAGCCAUUUCCCGUGGUUGAUGGUAAAUUGGGGUACACAGC
rnacentral:lncRNA from 1 species